rnacentral:lncRNA from 1 species
GUGAGAGGUGGGAUGGAGGCGCCAGGAGGCAGUGUGCAGGUGCUGAGGGGAGUCUGCGUGUGUUUUGAAGACAGCUGACCCCAUUUGCUAAUGGGUUGGUUGUGGGAUGGCAGGUGGGGGACAUGGAGGACUCCAAGGCUUUUGGCCUGAGCAACCAAUAAGAUUGCAGGAGGAUCGUGUGUGUGUGUGUGUUCGCGUGUGCUUUUGGACACGGUUCAGAGAUGCCCACUGGACAACCAGGAGGAGACAUGCAGUGGGCAGGAGUUCAGAGAGAACUCAUUCAUUCGUCAUCAGCUUGGAUGUCAUUUAGAGCUGAGCACCUGCCCGAGGGUGGAGGAGGUGUGUAGGUAGAGAAGCAGCCCUACUCCAACAUCUGCAGAGGCCUGGAGGCUGGAAGGCCCUGGUGCACACUGAUGGUCAGGCCCAGGUGAUUAGCCGCACGUCGUGGAGCGUUUGUUUGCCAGUCGUGGGUAAACAAAAGCCAUUUGUCAAAAUGAGAUGUUCCAGCCUCGUCCUCCCUUCAGCAGGCCAGUCCCCGCGCUGUGAAUUCCUGUUGCAUCAGCAGCGAGGCUAAUUAGCUCCUCGGCUCUUGAAUAAUAAUGGCCACAUUUACCGAGAGAUUUCUGUGCACGAGGAGCCCUGCAAAUGUGAUCUACGCAAGAAUCACAGGUGCAUCUUAUUGGCUCCAGUUUGGAGUGGGGGAAACUGAGGCUCAGGGAGGUGGAGCGGUUUGCUCAAGUCCCCACAGCUAGGAAGUGAAAGCUCUGACAUUCUCAGAUCUGAAUGACCCCCAAGCCUGAGAUGGGUGAGGGGGCUGCUCUGUUCUUCUGGAAUAUCUCCCCUUCCCCAUCCUGUGAGCAGAAACUGAGCAACAUCACAAGCAGCCUAAGAGGGACCUGGGUGGCACCUUACAGAGUCCUUCACAGUCACCUCUUGGAUCCACUUCAUGUAAGUUCUGUGAGAAGCUCUUCUAGGAGGCAACUUGAAGAGGAAAAUUACUGGGAUGAACUCCAACCCCUACCUCUGAAGUUUUGGGGUCUCAGGGCUGCAACUGACAUCCUCACCUGCCCACUCCACUACCCAUUAUAGACCACCUCACUCUCAGACGACAUCUCUGUUGGUCUCCUGAUUACCUGAGGGAACUGAGACCCUGGUCACCAUGCUAUUUUCAGGCCAGGGUUGCUACACUUGUCAACUUAACAUCAAAAUUGGGCAAGGGAGUACCAAGAAGCACCCAAGGGCAUCGCCUGGAUGUCAAACAUAUUCCUCCCAGACCCCAUAUGCAACCGCUUCUGGAUGCCAGGAUGCGACUCCUCUUCUUACCGCUGGCCCCUUGAUGCAAGGACAAGAAACCCAGAGUGCCAAGGAGGCGACUGUGCUUCGACUUUGAGGGACUCUGGCUGUGCCACCUUGCAGAAGUAUUUUCUCUUUGGGAACAAGGACCUCUAAACUUACGGAACCCAGAGUUGAGGGACAGAAAGCACAAAUUCUUUAAGUGGGCCACUGGGCCGCUUAAGCUUCUACCCCUAGGUUCCUAGACCCGUGUAUUCUGCCCAGUGGGGAUGCAGUGCCAUAUAUAGUAUUUGAUUUGAAGUGAUACUGCAUCUUGGAGGAUGGUACUGAAACCUUGUGAAGGCUUGUUUCUGAACUGGCAUUGCAGCUCUGUCUCCAUCGGGCCAGCAGCUUUGGGGUCAUGUGGUGUGCAGUAUUAACAGUGGAUCCCUGGUCAUGGGCCAGCCCACUCCCGCCCCUGCAGGGUUAUUGCUAUAAGAUGGGCUGUUGAGUCAGAAGUGAUGUUAUGUGGCAUCGUGUGCCAGUGAAUCAAACACUUCAUAGACCCUUGAGCAGAGAAUCCAUGGGCAGGAAAGGCAAAUCUCUAUGUGGAACUGGUCUCUAUUCCUGAUCUUUCAGGAGAGGGUCCAGUGUAGUCAUCUGCCACAUGCCAAGCCAAACCAAUCUCAGUUUUAUCCUCUUCAGCUGGUGACAUGGGAGUCCCCCAUGUGGCCAUUCGAAUGAGCUGAGGCUGCUGGUGCCUCAGUGGGGAUGAUGUGGGGUCUGGGCUACCUGCCGUGUAGCUUGCUGGUGUCCUCAAGGCGUGCUCAUGUUUGACCCGGGAUGUCCCCACCAUGUUAGAUUGAUUGAUUGGGUCUGGCAGACCCAGCUCAUGACAGGCAGUUCCAGCUGCCUGAUCACUCGGUGUCUCAUGUCUGGGUGUUGUGUGUCACAUGAGGGCUAGUAGCACAGGCACACCAGGACCUGUUUUCAGAAGGUGAAUAAUCCUUUGCUGCUAAUUGUAAUUCACUCCCAAAUUUUAGGGAGUCUCCAGAUCCUAAGGGAUUCUCCCAUUGGAGCUUGCAUUCUUCACUGGCAUCUCUUCCUAUCACUCACAUGGCUGACACCAUAGGGUCUGCUGAGUACUGUAUGGCUCAAGUCAAGGGAUGGGGUUGAUGGCUCUAGCAGCCUGACACUUUUGCAGAAUCCUUUCUUGCUCUGGGCCUUGGCAGCCUUUCAUGGCAUUGGCAUAUGGGGUUGGAGCAGUAUUCCUAGCUAUGAAAUAUGUUGCCUCCAGAUCUACCUAUCAGGUGUUAGGAUUUCUUCUUCAUGGUGGGAGGUAAAAGAUUAAAUAAUUUAUCUUUGCUUUGUAGGUAUGUCCCAGUAUUCACCAGACCAUUGAAUUCCUAGAAAUUUUACUAAUGUGGUGGCCUCUCGAUCUUCAGUAGUUUUCUCUCUCACCCUUUGGCUUCCAGCAUGCUAGGUACUGCUUGUCUAUCUGCCUGAUCAGCAUGAUGACAUCAGUGUACUGGAUCAGUGUGAUGUUCUGCAGGAUGUCCGAUGAUCCAGAUCUUUUUGGAUGGUCAUGACAGAGCUCUGAUGAAAGUUGUGAAUGUAUACUGUUGUCCCUUCCAUGUGAAUGUGAACUCUUUCUGAUUCUCUUUCUUGAUUGAGAUGGAAAUGAACAUAUUCACCAGAUUAAUGGCUUCAUAACAUGUACCUGAAUUCAAUUUUUUUUUGAGACGGAAUCUCACUCUGUCACCCAGGCUGGAGUGCAGUGGGGCGCGAUCUUGGCUCACACAACCUUUGCCUCCCAGGUGAAGUGAUUCUCCUGCCUCAGCCUCCUGAGUAGCUGGGAUUACAGGCAUGAGCCACCAUGCCUGGCCAGUUUUUGUAUUUUUAACAGAGAUGGGGUUUAUCAUGUUGACCAAGCUGGUCUCAAACUCCUGACUUCAAAUGAUCCACCAACCUCAGCCUCCCAAAUGCUGGGACUGUAGGCAUGAGCCACUUUGCCUGGCUCCCUGAAUUCAUAUUAAUCUUCUCUAGCAGCAAUACCACACCUAGCAAGGAAGCUGCAAUGGGGCUACUAGUUGUUGCACUUCUGGUAGUUUCCAUGGGGAACAGACUGGUGAAUUAAAUGGGACUAUAAUAGGAAUGAUCAUCCAUGCAUCUUUUAGAUCUUUAAGAACAGCACUCAUCUUUGCCAUCCCCUGGGAUGUAAUACUGCUUUUUAAUUUGCCAUCUUGGCCAGAAGGGGGAGUUUCAGAGGCUUCCACUUGGAUUUCCCCACUAUGAUAGCUCUUACCUCACAGGAUAAAGGGCUUGUGUCAAUUACUAAGUAUGUCAAUUACAGUUAUACAUUUGGAGACCACUGACGGUGGGACCAUGGACUGUGGGUGAGCUGGACCUAAGCUAGAACUCCAUUUAUCACCUGGCUCCCUUAGGAGGGGCCAUGCUAAUGCUCUGGGUUUCCCCUUCCCCAGUACACAGUUAUCUGAGUAACGCUGGGAAGAAAUGGAGGAAUCCUCGCUGUGUGCAGUCAUGGGGUUCUUCCUCCUGGGGACAUAGGCUUUCUGUCUAUCAAGUUUCCACGUCCAAGAACUUGCUCAGGGAUGGACAUUGCGGAAGGGAUUUUUACUUUUUUUUAAAUUAAGGUGACUGUCCUUAGCUUCCCAGCCAUCCAUCCGUGCUGUUUUUGAUUAUGCAGAUACAGUAGUAUCCUUAUUGGCUCCAUAUCUAUGUGGCCCCUAGGGGUGCCAAGUUCUAUUCACUCCACAGGUCUCUGUAGGUCAGGCUCCCCUGGCCUCCUCUCUACCCUACCACUCACCACAAUGACAUCUUCCUGCCUUCUGAUGGUGCCAUGGUCUGAAUGUUGGUGUCUCCCCAAAAUUCAUACGUUGAAACCUGACCACCAAUGUGAGGGUAUCAGGAGGUGGGGCCUUUGGAAGGCGAUUGGGUCAUGAAGAUGGAGCCUCAUGAAUGGGACUAGUGCCCUAAUGAAAAGAUGUCCCAGCAUGCUGCCCUGCCUGUUCUACACUCUGAGGACACAGUGAGAAGGCACCAUCUAUGAGCCAGAAAGUGGGCCUUCAGCAGACACCAAAUCUACUUUGAUCUUGGACUUCCCGGCCUCCAGAACUGUUAGAAAUAAAUUUCUUUAUAAGCCACCCAGCCUAUGGCAUUUUGUUACAGCAGCACUAAGGUAGAUGGCUUCUAGUUUUCCAAGGUCCUUGGGAUCAUUUCUGUGAGUAAGCCUGGUUGUACAGUGGCAAUUCCUCCUGCCAGCCCUGGUCCCCAGAGAGGAGCCAUCACUGAAUUUCUAAGUGAUCCAUUCCUAACAUCCUUGGUAAGUGGGUUAUCAUCUGGGUCCUGUGUGCAGCACAGGCCUCUGGGAGUUCCAGCCUUACAUGGCACACCUCCUCUGGUGGGCCCACCUCUCUGAGCCUAAGUGCCAAGGGCCUACCGUCUGCUCCAGCAGUUCUCACUUCAUGUUGGCCGCUGCUUUUUCCCAUGUUUCUAGGAACCAUCUGUAGUGAGUUUGCACCAUCUCCUGGGACACUGGUGAGAGUAUUAAAUCCUGUAU